rnacentral:sRNA from 1 species
ACCAGCACGACCACCCUUCCACCAACCACCACCCCCAGCCCUCCAACCACCACCACAACCACCCCUCCACCAACCACCACCCCCAGCCCUCCAAUAACCACCACGACCACCCCUCCACCAACCACCACUCCCAGCCCUCCAAUAACCACCACGACCACCCCUCCACCAACCACCACUCCCAGCCCUCCAACUACCACUCCCAGCCCUCCAACCACCACUCCCAGCCCUCCAACAACCACUCCCAGCCCUCCAACCACCACUCCCAGCCCUCCAACCACCACUCCCAGCCCUCCAACAACCACUCCCAGCCCUCCAACUACCACUCCCAGUCCUCCAACCACCACUCCCAGCCCUCCAACUACCACUCCCAGCCCUCCAACAACCACCACAACCACCCCUCCACCAACCACCACUCCCAGCCCUCCAACAACCACCACUCCCAGGCCUCCAAUAACCACCACAACCACCCCUCCACCAACCACCACUCCCAGCCCUCCAACAACCACCACGACCACCCCUUCACCAACCACCACCCCCAGCUCUCCAAUAACCACCACAACCACCCCUUCCUCAACUACCACUCCCAGCCCUCCACCAACCACCACGACCACCCCUUCACCAACCACCACUUCCAGCCCUCUAACAACUACUCCUCUACCUCCAUCAAUAACUCCUGCUACAUUUUCACCAUUCUCAACGACAACCCCUACUAUCCCAUGCGUGCCUGUCUGCAAUUGGACUGGCUGGCUGGAUUCUGGAAAACCCAACUUUCACAAACCAGGUGGAGAUAUGGAAUUGAUUGGAGACGUCUGUGGACCAGGCUGGGCAGCUAACAUCUCUUGCAGAGCCACCAUGUAUCCUGAUGUUCCCAUUGGACAGCUUGGACAAACGGUGGUGUGUGAUGUCUCUGUGGGGCUGGUAUGCAAAAAUGAAGACCAAAAGCCAGGUGGGGUCAUCCCUAUGGCCUUCUGCCUCAACUACGAGAUCAACGUUCAGUGCUGUGAGUGUGUCACCCAACCCACCACCAUGACACCCACCGGCACACAGACCCCAACAUCGACACCCAUCACCACCACCACUACGGUGACCCCAACCCCAACACCCACCGGCACACAGAGUACAACCCCGACACUCAUCACCACCACCAGUACGGUGACCCGAACCCCAACACCCACGGGCACACAGACCCCAACAUCGACACCCAUCACCACCACCACUACGGUGACCCCAACCCCAACACCCACCAGCACACAGACCCCAACCCCGACACCCAUCAGCACCACCAUUACGGUGACCCCAACCCCAACACCCACCGGCACACAGACCCCAACAUCGACACCCAUCACCACCACUACGGUGACCCCAACCCCAACACCCAUCGGCACACAGACCCCAACAUCGACACCCAUCACCACCACCACUACGGUGACCCCAACCCCAACACCGACCGGCACACAGACCCCAACAUCGACACCCAUUGCCACCACCACUACGGUGACCCCAACGCCAACACCCACCAGCACACAGACCCCAACAUCGACACCCAUCACCACCACCACUACGGUGACCCCAACCCCAACACCCACCGGCACACAGACCCCAACCCCGACAGCCAUCACCACCACCACUACGGUGACCCCAACCCCAACACCCACGGGCACACAGACCCCAACAUCGACACCCAUCAGCACCAUCACUACGGUGACCCCAACCCCAACACCCACCGGCACACAGACCCCAACCCUGACACCCAUCAGCACCACCAUUACGGUGACCCCAACCCCAACACCCACCAGCACACAGACCCCAAAAUCGACACCCAUCACCACCACCAGUACGGUGACCCCAACGCCAACACCCACCGGCACACAGACCCCAACAUCGACACCCAUCACCACCACCACUACGGUGACCCCAACCCCAACACCCACCGGCACACAGACCCCAACCCCGAAAGCCAUCACCACCACGACUAUGGUGACCCCAACCCCAACACCCACCGGCUCACAGACCCCAACAUCGACACCCAUCACCACCACCACUACGGUGACCCCAACCCCAACACCCACCGGCACACAGAGUACAACCCCGACACCCAUCACCACCACCACUACGGUGACCCCAACCCCAACACCCACCAGCACACAGACCCCAACGACGACACCCAUCACCACCACUACAGUGACACCAACUCCGACACCCACCGGCACACAGACCCCAACCACGACACCCAUCACCACCACUACGGUGAUCCCAACCCCAACACCCACCGGCACACAGACCCUAACCCCAACCACCAUCACCACCACCACUACGGUGACCCCAACCCCAACACCCACCGGCACACAGAGUACAACCCCGACACCCAUCACCACCACCACUACGGUGACCCCAACCCCAACACCCACCGGCACACAGAGUACAACCCCCACACCCAUCACCACCACCACUACGGUGACCCCAACCCCAACACCCACCGGCACACAGACCCCAACCACGACACCCAUCACCACCACUACGGUGACACCAACUCCAACACCCACCGGCACACAGACCCCAACUACGACACCCAUCACCACAACUACGGUGACUCCAACCCCAACAACCACUGGCACACAGACCCUAACCCCAACCACCAUCACCACCACCACUAUGGUGACCCCAACCCCAACACCCACCGGCACACAGAGUACAACCCUGACACCCAUCACCACCACCACUACGGUGACCCCAACCCCAACACCCACCGGCACACAUACCCCAACAUCGACACCCAUCACCACCACCACUACGGUGACCCAAACCCCAACACCCACAGGCACACAGACCGCAACAUCGACACCCAUCACCACUACCACUAUGGUGACCCCAACCCCAACACCCACCGGCACACAGACCCCAACCCUGACACCCAUCAGCACCACCACUACGGUGACCCCAACCCCAACACCCACCGGCACACAGACCCCAACCACGACACCCAUCACCACCACCACUACGGUGACCCCAACCCCAACACCCACCAGCACACAGAGUACAACCCCGACACCCAUCACCACCACGUCUACGGUGACCCCAACCCCAACACCCACCGGCACACAGAGUACAACCCCGACACCCAUCGCCACCACCACUAUGGUGACCCCAACGCCAACACCCACCGGCACACAGACCCCAACAUCGACACCCAUCACCACCACCACUACGGUGACCCCAACCCCAACACCCACCGGCACACAGACCCCAACCCCGACAGCCAUCACCACCACCACUACGGUGACCCCAACCCCAACACCCACCGGCACACAGAGUACAACCCCGACCCCCAUCACCACCACCACUACGGUGACCCCAACCCCAACACCCACCGGCACACAGACCCCAACAUCGACACCCAUCACCACCACCACUACGGUGACCCCAACCCCAACAUCCACUGGCACACAGACCCCAACAUCGACACCCAUCACCACCACCACUACAGUGACCCCAACCCCAACCCCCACCGGCACACAGAGUACAACCCCGACACCCGUCACCACCACCACUAUGGUGACCCCAACCCCAACACCCACCGACACUCAGACCCCAACCACGACACCCAUCACCACCACGUCUACGGUGACCCCAACCCCAACACCCACCAGCACACAGACCCCAACAUCGACACCCAUCACCACCACCACUACGGUGACCCCAACCCCAACACCCACCGGCACACAGAGUACAACCCCGACACCCGUCACCACCACCACUACGGUGACCCCAACCCCAACACCCACCGGCACACAGACCCCAACAUCGACACCCAUCACCACCACCACUACGGUGACCCCAACCCCAACACCCACCGGCACACAGAGUACAACCCCGACACCCAUCGCCACCACCACUACGGUGACCCCAACGCCAAUACCCACCGGCACACAGACCCCAACAUCGACACCCAUCACCACCACCACUACGGUGACCCCAACCCCAACACCCACCGGCACACAGACCCCAACCCCGACAGCCAUCACCACCACCACUACGGUGACCCCAACCCCAACACCCACCGGCACACAGAGUACAACCCCGACACCCGUCACCACCACCACUACGGUGACCCCAACCCCAACACCCACCGGCACACAGAGUACAACCCCGACCCCCAUCACCACCACCACUACGGUGACCCCAACCCCAACACCCACCGGCACACAGACCCCAACAUCGACACCCAUCACCACCACCACUACGGUGACCCCAACCCCAACAUCCACUGGCACACAGACCCCAACAUCGACACCCAUCACCACCACCACUACAGUGACCCCAACCCCAACCCCCACCGGCACACAGAGUACAACCCCGACACCCGUCACCACCACCACUAUGGUGACCCCAACCCCAACACCCACCGACACUCAGACCCCAACCACGACACCCAUCACCACCACGUCUACGGUGACCCCAACCCCAACACCCACCAGCACACAGACCCCAACAUCGACACCCAUCACCACCACCACUACGGUGACCCCAACCCCAACACCCACCGGCACACAGAGUACAACCCCGACACCCGUCACCACCACCACUACGGUGACCCCAACCCCAACACCCACCGGCACACAGACCCCAACAUCGACACCCAUCACCACCACCACUACGGUGACCCCAACCCCAACACCCACCGGCACACAGAGUACAACCCCGACACCCAUCACCACCACGUCUACGGUGACCCCAACCCCAACACCCACCGGCACACAGAGUACAACCCCGACACCCAUCACCACCACGUCUACGGUGACCCCAACCCCAACA